GAGCUCAGCAAGCUGGGGAAGUUAGAAACAGCUAGUGGCUGACAUCUGGCUCACCCAACUAAUGAUGUCAAGAGGAAAUCUCUGGUUCACUGGCAGUGAGCAAUUGAAGGAAACUGGCUCACCGCGCCAACCCUGAAAAAAAAGCAAUCCUUGCAACAAUCCAGGUUGCUCUGACCUUGGCCUAAUGCUCCUGAUUCCCUGUGCAGAGCUAAUGAGUUUGCUGCUUUGUGGCUUUUAGAGAGGUUGCUAAGGACAGCCAGUUAUGCAUUCAGAAACGAGACCCAAGAACCCUGUCUCUGCCACCAGGGAAGACAGUGAAAAGAAGGAAAGGCACCAUGGUGCCAUAAGGAAGACCACACUCCUUACUCUCAGAGGCUGCUGCUGCUGCUAAGUCUCUUCAGUCAUGUCCGACUCUGUGCGACCCCAUAGACAGCAGCCCACCAGGCUCCCCUGUCCCUGGGAUUCUCCGGGCAAGAACACUGGAGUGGGUUGCCAUUUCCUUCUCCAAUGCCUGAAAGUGAAAAGUGAAAGUGAAGUCGCUCAGUCAUGUCCAACUCCUAGUGACCCCAUGGACUGCAGCCUACCAGGCUCCUCCGUCCAUGGGAUUUGCCGGGCAAGAGUACUGGAGUGGGUUGCCAUUGCCUUCUCCACUCUCAGAGGC
ensembl:lncRNA